UAUCUUCGGAUAUGAGUAGAGCGGCGGACGGGUGAGUAACGCGUAGGAAUCUACCUAGUAGAAGGGGAUAGCCCGGGGAAACUCGGAUUAAUACCGUAUACCUCCUUAGGGAGAAAGAGGGCCUCUCUUGAAGCUCUCGCUAUUAGAUGAGCCUGCGUAAGAUUAGCUUGUUGGUGAGGUAAUGGCUUACCAAGGCUACGAUCUUUAGCUGGUCUGAGAGGACGAUCAGCCACAUUGGGACUGAGACACGGCCCAGACUCCUACGGGAGGCAGCAGUGGGGAAUAUUGGACAAUGGGCGCAAGCCUGAUCCAGCCAUACCGCGUGUGUGAAGAAGGCCUUCGGGUUGUAAAGCACUUUAAGCAGGGAGAAAAAGCAAUAAGUUAAUACCUUAUUGCCGUGAUGUUACCUGCAGAAUAAGCACCGGCUAAUUCCGUGCCAGCAGCCGCGGUAAUACGGAAGGUGCAAGCGUUAAUCGGAAUUACUGGGCGUAAAGCGCGCGUAGGUGGUUUGUUAAGUUGGAUGUGAAAGCCCUGGGCUCAACCUAGGAACUGCAUCCAAAACUAACUCACUAGAGUACGAUAGAGGGAGGUAGAAUUCAUAGUGUAGCGGUGGAAUGCGUAGAUAUUAUGAAGAAUACCAGUGGCGAAG
rnacentral:rRNA from 1 species